ACCACUAAGGGAUCUUGUUAAAAUGCAGAUUCUGAUUCAGCAGAACCGCAAAGAGGGCUGAGAGUCUGAAUUUCUAACAAGCUCCUAAGUGAUGUCCA
rnacentral:pre_miRNA from 1 species